AGAUGGCGGCGGCGCUUGAUGCAGGUAUUUCAGGGCAGGUCAGAGACGCAUGCGCAGUUCAAGUCAAGAGUCGCAGGAGGAGGCGGAGGGAAGGCUGGGUAAGGCGAAAGGCGGGCAGUGGCCAGCCGGCAGCCGAGGAGUGAAGGUUGUGAAAGCGAGGGCAGCAGAGGAUGGAGCCGAGGAACGAUGAGUGUGGUCCGUGGCGUGAAGACGAAAACGAGAACGAGGAUUAAAAGAAAGGACGGCGACAGGACGGCGACGAGAAGAACGAGGGAAGGAGGUGGUGAGAUGCCAAUCAGCUGGAUGGAGACGCAGUAGUGUGUGGACUGUCACGUGACAGCAUUAGAGGGCAGCCAGCAGGAUGGAACCAAACAGUGUGGACGUGACAGCAUUAGCCCCUCACCCCUACCACCGUCAGGGGUGGGGGGCAUUUUGACACUGUAGGUGUGACUUGGUUGGCUGUGUUGCCAAUAAACGAUGACCUGAGUGUAGAGAGAGGACUCUCCCAACUUGUAAAUUUAUUUAUUUAUUUUUUUUUACUGA